AGCCCGCUCAGAAACUUAAAGAAUUGACGGGGGCCCGCACAAGCGGAGGAACAUGUGGUUUAAUUCGAUGAUACGCGAGGAACCUUACCCGGGCUUGAAAUGCAUCUGACCGGCCUUGAAAGAGGCAAUCCCCUUCGGGGCAGAUGUGUAGGUGCUGCAUGGUUGUCGUCAGCUCGUGCCGUGAGGUGUCGGCUUAAGUGCCAUAACGAGCGCAACCCUCAUCAUUAGUUACCAUCAGGUAAGGCUGGGGACUCUAAUGAGACUGCCAUCGUAAGAUGUGAGGAAGGUGGGGAUGACGUCAAAUCAGCACGGCCCUUACGUCCGGGGCGACACACGUGUUACAAUGGGUGGUACAAAGGGCAGCUACCUGGCGACAGGAUGCUAAUCUCGAAAACCGCUCUCAGUUCGGAUCGGAGUCUGCAACUCGACUCCGUGAAGCUGGAUUCGCUAGUAAUCGCGCAUCAGCCACGGCGCGGUGAAUACGUUCCCGGGCCUU
rnacentral:rRNA from 1 species